AUUGCAGAGUGGAGAACAAUAAGCAAGAUAUCGGUUCUGGAUUCAACAUAGAGCCAUCUCCGAUGGGUCGAUUCCUUAGUGAUUUUCCCAUAUGCGUGAACAUAGUGAAGUAUCAAAUGACAUGUGAUAAUGAGAUUCUAGAUAUGAGGUUAUGAAUGUCUUAAAUUCUCUUACAUUUCUGUGUUACAUAGAUCAAUAUUAAUUACUCUACUAGUUAUACUUAAGUUCAUAUAUUACUUCCGGUUUUAUUGGCUGAGCUAAACAAACUACGUCAAAGGAAUUCAAAGGCAAUACCAUUUCUAAUGUUUGUUAUUGGAUGUUGCUUGUGUUCUUCAAGACUAGAAUAAGCUAGAUGUUAUGUCCUAAUAAAUCUUUAGAUCUUGGCUGUUUAAAGAAGUGAUUAGUUCUUAGACGUGCGACGUAGUCAAUCAUACACUCUUGGUUGACAUGUCUGCCACUAUACUGGCUUUCUUUUCGAUAGCAUAAUUGAAUAUACAAGGAAAACACCAUGACUAAAGACUAAUAAUAUAGGUGAUUGUACUCUGUCAGAGCAUGUCAUAAUUGAAAACUUUGAUUCUGACACAUGCUACCAAACUGAUAACUAUACUAGUAUACUUUUUUGUGUAUAAUGGAUAACACUAAUG
rnacentral:lncRNA from 1 species